GACGAACGCUGGCGGCGUGCUUAACACAUGCAAGUCGAACGGAAAGGCCCUGCUUUUGUUGGGUGCUCGAGUGGCGAACGGGUGUGUAACACGUGAGUAACCUGCCCUUUACUUUUGUAUAACUUCAGGAAACUGGUGCUAAUACCGGAUAGGUGCUCCUGCUGCAUGGUGUUUGUUGGUAAGUUUCGGCGGUUGGGGAUGUACUCGCGGCUUAUCAGCUUGUUGGUGGGGUAGUGGCUUACCAAGGGUUUGACGGGUAGCCGGCCUGAGAGGGUGAACGGCAAAAAUGGGACUGAGAGACGGAGCAGAGUACAACGGGAGGCAGCAGUGGGGAAUAGAGCAAAAUGGGAGGAAGCAUGAUGCAGAAAAGCAGCGUGCGGGAUGAAGGCAUACGGGUUGUAAACAGAAGUAGAAUGUGAAGAAGAGUGAGUGACGGUAAUGGGUAAAGAAGCAACGGCUAACUACGUG
rnacentral:rRNA from 1 species